rnacentral:SRP_RNA from 1 species
GCUGGGAGUGGUGGCGUGCACCUGUAGUCCCAGCUACUUGGGAGGCUGAGACAGGAGAAUUGCUCGAACCCAGGAGGCGGAGGUUGCAGUGAGCCAAGAUUGCGCUACUGCACUCCAGCCUGGGCAACAGAGCAAGACUCUGUCUCCA